CAGCGCGUUGGGCUGCCCCGUGCUGCGUCUAUGGCCCGGGGGGGGGGAAGGGGAUGCCGCCCUCCCUAGGGCUGCUCUGGGGCUGUGGGGACACGGCCAUGGGGUCGUGGCACGGUUGGGUUGGGAGGGACCGUAUGGAUCACAGAACUGUGGGAUCACGGCACGAAUUGGGUUGAAGGGACCCUACGGAUCGUAGAGUCACGGCAUGGUUGGGUUGGAGGGGUCCCUAUAGAUUGCAGAAUCACCGAAUCACGGCACGGUUUGGGUCGGAAGGGGCCCUAUAGAUCACAGAAUCACCAAAUCACGGCACGGUUUGGGUCGGAAGGGGCCCUAUAGAUCACAGAAUCACCAAAUCACGGCACGGUUUGGGUCGGAAGGGGCCCUAUAGAUCACAGAAUCACCGAAUCACGGCAUGGUUUGGGUCGGAAGGGGCCCUAUAGAUCACAGAAUCACCAAAUCACGGCACGGUUUGGGUCGGAAGGGGCCCUAUAGAUCACAGAAUCACCAAAUCACGGCACAGUUUGGGUCAGAAGGGGCCCUAUAGAUCACAGAAUUACCAAAUCAUGGCACGGUUUGGGUUGGGAGAGGCCCUAUAGAUCACAGAAUCACCAAAUCACUGCACGGUUUGGGUCAGAAGGGGCCCUAUAGAUCACAGAAUCACCAAAUCACUGCACAGUUUGGGUCAGAAGGGGCCCUAUAGAUCACCUCACUGCACCCCCCGCUGCUGGCAGGGCCGGCUCGCAGCACACCGGGCUGCUCAGAGCCCCAUCCCCCCUGGGGAGGGGUCACCCACAGCCCCCCCAUGCCCUGUCCCAACCUCUGCCCCCCCUCACAGUGAAGAAUUCCCUCCUAACAUCCGCUCUAGUCCUCCCCUCUCCCAGCUCAAAGCCAUUUCCCCUUAUCCUGUCGCUACCCGCCCUUGUAAGAAGUCCUUCCUAGCUUCCCCCCCCCCCCCCCCCAGGUCCUGGCAGGGCUAUAAUGGGCUGUAAUGCCCCUUCCCCAGGCUGCACAGCCCCAGCUCUCAGCUAUAAUGCCCCUUCCCCAGGCUGCACAGCCCCAGCUCUCAGCUAUAAUGCCCCUUCCCCGGGCUGCACAGCCCCAGCUCUCAGCCUGUCCCUGUUUUGGAGGUGCUCCGUCCUCUGCUCACCUCCGUGACGCACCAACAGCUCCGUGUCCUUCUGCUGCUGGGGGCUCAGACCUGGAUGCAGCGUUCCCGAUGGGGGCUCAGGAGAGCAGAGGGGCAGGACCCCCCCCCAUCCCCCCCCAUCCCCCACCCUGCUGGCUGCACUGCUCCCAAAGCAAGGCAGGAUUUGGGCAGCCCUCUUUCACCGACCCACACCCCCAUACCCUCCUCACAGCCCUGCUGAAGCCGUGCUGCUUACCACCAACCACCCCAUCCUUCUUUUCCAUGACCCCCCUGUGUGCCCCACAGUCCCGCAGGCACAGAGGGGAAACCUCUGCUGUGCAGUUCUCCCCCCCCCCCCCCCCCAUUUUUCCCCUUCCUGGGAACGGGAGCUGUGUGUCCCCUUUUCCAUCCCAUGGGAAUAUCUCCCAAUGCCACCGCCUUCCGAAUACGAUGGAGGGCAGCGUGGCAGCAUCACCCCGCAGCUCCCCCUGAACCCAUGGAGGGAUCUCGUCGGCCCCAUAGCAUCUUCAGGCCCUACAGCUGCUUUCAGACCUCAUCUUUGGGGGGCAGAUCGUCCUUCUCUCAGUUCCUUCCUUUGCUCUCUGCAGUUUGGGCGCUGCGGGCAGAGGAGGCAUUGAGCACCGCUGCUUUCUGUGUGUGCCUCAUGAUGCUGUGAGCUGUGGGUCGGGAUGGGGCCUAUAGACCACAGAAUCGCGUGGUUGGGUUGAAAGGGACCCUAUAGAUCAUAGAACCAUGGGAUCACUGAGUGGUUGGGUUGACAGGGACCCUAUAGGUCAUAGAACCAUGGGAUCACUGAGUGGUUGGGAUGGGAGGACCCUAUAGAUCAUAAAACCAUGGGAUCACUGAGUGGUUGGGUUGAAAGGGACCCUAUAGGUCAUAGAACCAUGGGAUCACUGAGUGGUUGGGACGGGAGGACCCUAUGGAUCAUAAAACCAUGGGAUCACUGAGUGGAGUGGUUGGGUUAAAAGGGACCCUAUAGAUCACAGAAUAACAUUGUUGGGUUGGAGGGGCCCUAUAGAUCACUGAACCGAGGGAUCACAACACGGGUGUGUUGGAAGGGACCCUAUAGAUGACAGAAUCACAUCCUUGGGUUGGAACGGACCGUAUAGAUCACAGAACAAUGGGAUCACAGCUAGGGUGGGUUGGAAGGGACCCUAUAGAUCACAGAAUCACAUCGUUGGGUUGAAGGGGCCCUAUAGAUCACAGAACCACGGGAUCACAGCACGGGUGGGUUGGAGGGAUCCUAUGGAUCACAGGCAACGGAUGCACAGCACGGUUGCUUUGGAGAGGCCCUAUAGACCACAGACCCAUAGAAUCGCAGCACGGGCGGCUCGGAGGGACCCUACAGUCCCCAGAACCGCGGCAUCACAGCGCCGUUGCGUUGGGAGGGACCUCAAACCCCCGCAGUCCCACCCGGCGGAGCGCUGCCCGCAGCCGCCGCUGCGCGGCUCCCGGUGGCCACGCGGUGCCGCUGCCGCUCUCUACGUGGGGCCGCCCCCCGUUUCCCCCCCCCCACCCCCCCCCUUUUCCCGAUUCGUAGCGCUGCCGUCAGCUCCGCGUCAGCGCGAGCGGAGGUUGGGAUCUCCCCGAUAACAACAGGAAAAGAAAAGCGACAAAAACUCAAAUCCCAAAAUAACCGCUUUCGGGGGACGGGAAACCGCAGAGGCGCGGAGCGCAGCGGACGGUCGCGGCUCCGGGCAACGGGCAAACAAACGGCGCGGCGACGGACGGCGGCGGGACCCGGCGGGCCGAACCGCUCCGCGGGGCAGAACCGAACCGGAGCGGCGGGCCGUCCUUCCGGCCGAGAGAGCCGCGCUGCUGCUCGGGUGGUGCUCGGAGCCGCCGCCAACCGGAGCCUCUGCGGGCCGAAAGCCAUUGAGAAACCCCCGGAGGGCCCAAAGCCCCAUUGAGAAAACUCUCAUAGACCCAAAAACCCAUUGAGAAAACUCCCGUAGGGCCCAAAACCCAUCGAGAAAACUGCAAUGGACCCAAAACCCGUUGAAAAAAAAAAAAAAACCUUCCACAGACACAAAAGCCGCUGAGAAAACUCCCGCGGGGCCCAAACCCCAUCGGGAAAAUUCCUCUGGACCCAAAACCCAUUGGGAAAACUCUCAUGGACCCAAAACCCAUUGAAAAAAGUCCUAUAGACCCAAAACCCAUUGAGAACCCCCCCCCCCCCCAGGGCCCACACCCCAUUGAGAAAACUCCAAUGGACACAAAAUCCGUGGAGAAAACCCCCAUCGACCCCAAACCCCAUUGAGAAAACUCCCACAGACCCAAAACUCAUUGAAAAAGAAAACUUCUACAGAGCCAAAAUCCACUGAGAAAAAUCCUACAGACCCCAAAAGCCAUUGGGAAAACUCCUACGGACACAAAACCUAUCAAGAAAAUACCCAUACACCCAAAAGUCAUUGAGAAAAACUUCUAUAGACCCAAAUCCUAUUGGGAAAAAUCCUACUGACCCAAAACCCACUGAGAAAUCUCCCACAGAGCCCAAAACCCAUUGGGAAAACUCCUACGGACACAAAACCCAUUAAGAACCCCCCACCCCCACAGGGCCCAAAACCCACUGAGAAAACCUCCAUACACCCAAACCCCAUUGAGAAAACUCCCACGGGGCUCAGACCCCAUUAGGACAUCUUCGAUGGAUACAAAACCCAUUGAGAAAAAUCCCGUACACCCAAACCCCACUGAGAAAACCCCCAUCGACCCCAAACCCCAUUGAGAAAACUCCCACAGACCCAAAACUCAUUGAAAAAGAAAAUUUCUACAGAGCCAAAAUCCACUGAGAAAAAUCCUACAGACCCCAAACCCACUGAGCAAAUUCCCACAGGGCCCAAACCCCAUUGGGAGAACUCCUAUGGACCCAAAACCCAUUGAGAAAACUCCCAUAGACCCAAAUCCUAUUGGGAAAAAUCCUACUGACCCAAAACCCACUGAGAAAACUCCCAUAGACCCAAAACCUAUUGGGAAAAUCCUACUGACCAAAAACCCAUUGAGAAAAUUCCCACAGGGCCCAAAACCCAUUGAGAAAUCUCCCAUACACCCAAACCCCAUUGAGAAAAGUCCCACGGGGCCCAAAUCCCAUUGGGAAAACUCCGAUGGACACAAAACCCAUUGAGAAAACCCUCCUGGACCCGAAACCCAUUGAGAAAACUUCUACAGACCCAAAACCCACUGAGAAAAAUCCUACAGGGAUUAGGGUUAGGGUUAGGGUUAGAGUUAUGGGGUCAGGGUUAGGGUUAGAGUUAUGGGGUCAGGGUUAGGGUUACUGUUAUGGGGUCAGGGUUAGGGUUAGCGUUAUGGGGUCAGGGUUAGGGUUAGCGUUAUGGGGUCAGGGUUAGGGUUAGCGUUAUGGGGUCAGGGUUAGGGUUACUGUUAUGGGGUCAGGGUUAGGGUUAGAGUUAUGGGGUCAGGGUUAGGGUUAGAGUUAUGGGGUCAGGGUUAGGGUUAGAGUUAUGGGGUCAGGGUUAGGGUUACUGUUAUGGGGUCAGGGUUAGGGUUAGAGUUAUGGGGUCAGGGUUAGGGUUACUGUUAUGGGGUCAGGGUUAGGGUUGGGCUUAGGGUUAGAGUGUUAGGGUCAGGUUUCAGUUUAGGACUGGUGUUGGGUAUAGGGUUUGGGUCCAGGUUGAUUUAUAGGGUCAGAGUUAUGGGGUUAGAGUUAUAGGGUCAGGGAUACGGUUUGGGUUAGAGUUAUAGGGUCAGGACUGGUUGGGGUUAGGGUCUGUGUCAGUGUCAGGUUAGCGUUAGGAUCAUAGGGUUAGG
ensembl:lncRNA